rnacentral:rRNA from 1 species
UCUAAGUUUGAUGGCGACCGGCGCACGGGUGAGUAACACGUAUCCAACCUGCCGAUGACUCGGGGAUAGCCUUUCGAAAGAAAGAUUAAUACCCGAUGGCAUAGUUCUUCCGCAUGGUGGAACUAUUAAAGAAUUUCGGUCAUCGAUGGGGAUGCGUUCCAUUAGGUUGUUGGCGGGUAACGGCCCACCAAGCCUUCGAUGGAUAGGGGUUCUGAGAGGAAGGUCCCCCACAUUGGAACUGAGACACGGUCCAAACUCCUACGGGAGGCAGCAUG